CAGCCACCACAGUAACCCUCAUCCACUGCCAUGUCUCAGGCAGCAGGUCAGUACAUCAACUCUGAGCUCUAUGGAUGGAAAAACUGAGGCAUGACACCCUCAUUCUCCCCCAUGCCCAGAAUUUUGAGUGCCCAAUCUCAGAAACCUGCUUGAUGAUUUUGCAGAGGGGUGCACUCCUCUUGGGCCAAGUCCAGUACCUCUGCCAAAACAGCCUUUCUUUGACCAGUCUCCCAAAAGUGAGGGGAUCUCCUUGUUUUUGAAAGGCUGCCCAGGGUGACUUCCCAGUGUGAGACCUCAGACCAGCAGUCAUGCAGACUUGGACCUGGCCACCUGGCAGUACAGGUGCUGCCAGCUACAGCUGAAGCAUAAGGCACUUUUUUCUCGCCAGCGUCCUCACAGCUGGCUCACUGCCAUCCUCCAAAGCCCACAUCAUCGAUCACUGAAGGAAGGUGUUUGUCAAAUAAUAUGCUUUUCCCACAAAAAAAGGCUCUAGGUGACCUUACUAAGGCAUCACUGUUCAGUGCAGGGCAUUUGCAACUUCACAGUGCUUGUCCCUCUAGCCUCACAACAUGUGAAGCACAGUCCCGGGUGGACCUGUUUGUGGAGGCAAGGUGCUGCUCCAGCCCCUCUACAGGACUGCCUCAGCAAGGGCAGAGCUGGCAGCCGACACGGGGCAGAGCAAGGCCGGGGUGAGCGCAGGGAGGAUGGCAUCCCCUUACUCUUCAGGUACUGGAUCAGCUCGCUCCUGAACUCGUCACUGUGAGUGAUGUCAGCAUAGGACAGGAGGCCGGUUCCUGAGAAGCCUGGUGGUCCUGGAGGGCCAGGAGGGCCAGGUGGGCCCUGGACUCCGGAGAGGGAGGAGUAUCCCACACCUUGGGAGAGGAAGACAGGAAGAAUGAUCUUCUGACAGUGAGAGGACAUGGAAAUAGCACAUGUCUGGGAAUCCUGAGAGUUUAAAGGGUCUGGCCCCAAAUUCCAGCCCUUUCCAGCUGAUGUCGACGAGAUCUUUUUUUUUUAAGCGACUCUGUUCCCACUGGGCAGUCACAUCUCCUGAGAAGCUAAUAGCCUCCCUGACACCUACAAACUUCACUUUCUUGGCAAGCUCGCACCCUCCCCACGGGCUACAAGAAACACGAGUGCCUCACUUUGCAGCAUCCUCUAGCGCAGCCUUCCUGGUGCACCUCGCUACCCUGCAGGGAGAUGUUGCAUGAGGAAGCCAGAGGACUCCAAAAAGGGUAGAAGUACGUUUUUUCUUUUAAAAACUGGCAUCAGAAGCUCCUUUAUGCUGCGCAGUUUGAGGGAGACAAAGGGCUCCUCCACCCGCAAGAGAGCACCUCAUUGCUGCCAUUCUCUGCAGGAGCACGGGAAGCUGUCUGCAGCCACGGGCGGCCUGUGCAGGCCUUGGGCAGAGCCCCAGGAGUCCUGCAGUGCCAAUAACCAAGACAGAGGGGACCAGCGGAGUCUCAUAGAGGGUUAGGUGUGAUUACAGGCAAAAGGGAAGAUUCUACACUUUUACAGCUGAGUUGCUCGCAGACAAGAGCUGGGGACAGGGAAUAUCACUGCAAUGCCUUCGCUUAU
ensembl:lncRNA